rnacentral:rRNA from 1 species
AUGGCUCGACAGGAGAAGCAGCGCCUCGCUCUCCUCUGCGACCUCAUCCCCAAUUGGAAUCGACAAGGCAGCUUCCCGAGCUCGCUCUCCACUAGAAGCCGCAUGAAUGGAUCGAACAAAAGGUUGGCCCCUCCACAUUUCAAUCCAAGUUACAGCCCCAUCUUUGGAAUCUUGAUCAGCCUAAUCACCUGGUCAACCUCUUGUUACCUGUUGCGGUGCCGAUGUGACAUCAUGUGUAUUGGGUUUGGGUCUUCAUCGCCUUGGCAAGACCGAUGUUGCUACAUACUAGUAUAUGAUGGAUCAUGGACUGAUGAAUGGGGUGCUCACCCUGACGCUCCAGUUGGUGUUGCACUUGCUAGUGAUCUAAACACUCUUAUAUUUCUUUCAGAGGGAGUACUAUGUAAUGAUGGUCAGGACUCAGGAAAUUGGAGAGUUUGGGUUCCUGUUUUGGGCUUUUUCGAUGUAUAA